GAUGAACGCUGGCGGCGUGCCUAAUACAUGCAAGUCGAGCGAACAGACGAGGAGCUUGCUCCUCUGACGUUAGCGGCGGACGGGUGAGUAACACGUGGAUAACCUACCUAUAAGACUGGGAUAACUUCGGGAAACCGGCGCUAAUACCGGAUAAUAUAUUGAACCGCAUGGUUCAAUAGUGAAAGACGGUUUUGCUGUCACUUAUAGAUGGAUCCGCGCCGCAUUAGCUAGUUGGUAAGGUAACGGCUUACCAAGGCAACGAUGCGUAGCCGACCUGAGAGGGUGAUCGGCCACACUGGAACUGAGACACGGUCCAGACUCCUACGGGAGGCAGCAGUAGGGAAUCUUCCGCAAUGGGCGAAAGCCUGACGGAGCAACGCCGCGUGAGUGAUGAAGGUCUUCGGAGCGUAAAACUCUGUUAUUAGGGAAGAACAAAUGUGUAAGUAACUAUGCACGUCUUGACGGUACCUAAUCAGAAAGCCACGGCUAACUACGUG
rnacentral:rRNA from 1 species